UGGUAGAGUGGGCAUGUGCACACUCUCAAGACUACAUCACAGAGGCUGACUUCCAAGUUUGUGUGUUCUAGGCUGGUUGCCAUGGUUACAACAAGAAAGUGUACCUAAAUAAUCAGUUUGUGUGCAUGAGGUCAUGCUGCUAAUCCGUGUUGCAUUCAAGGACACCGCUCACAGCCAGUUGAUCAGUGUGACCGACUUCUCAUGUCGUGCGGGUUCCAAGGACCACCAAGGAAUGACAUUCUUGCGAGCAGGAGGCCUCGCUCUCCCAGCAGAUGAAGAAUGGACUACAUUGAUUUGUCCAACAGAACCACAGACAGAACUUUCUUGUUGAUUUAAACAGACUCCCUGACGCAUCUGUGUCACAUGACCAGAGGAGCAUGCUGCAGUGGACUACACAACAACAACAACAACAACAAGGCAGGUUGCACAGCAGCAAACCAUUUCUGCUCGGAAUACGACAACAUUGCUGCUUUCACCAAACAUCAUGUUUUCCCUGACUCGGCUUGUAACUCAAAUGACUUCUAUGGAUGUCCAUCAUUAA